CCUACGGGAGGCAGCAGUGAGGAAUAUUGGUCAAUGGGCGGAAGCCUGAACCAGCCAAGUAGCGUGCGGGAUGAAGGCCCUACGGGUCGUAAACCGCUUUUGCACGGGGAUAACACCCUCCACUUGUGGAGGUCUGCAGGUACCGUGCGAAUAAGGGCCGGCUAAUUCCGUGCCAGCAGCCGCGGUAAUACGGAAAGCCAGAGCGUUAUCCGGAUUCAUUGGGCUUAAAGGGAGCGUAGGCGGGCGUUCAAGUCAGCUGUAAAAUCGCGCGACUAAACCGCGCGCCGCAGUUGAAACUGGACGCAUUGAGUUCACAACAGGCAGGCGGAAUUCGUGGUGGAGCGGUGAAAUGAAUAGAUAUCACGAGGAACCCCGAUUGCGAAGGCAGCCUGCCGGGGUGCGACUGACGCUGAGGCUCGAAGGUGCGGGUAUCAAACAGGAUUAGAUACCCUAGUAGUC
rnacentral:rRNA from 1 species